rnacentral:rRNA from 1 species
GACGAACGCUGGCGGCGUGCUUAACACAUGCAAGUCGAACGGUAAGCCCCUUCGGGGUACACGAGUGGCGAACGGGUGAGUAACACGUGGGUGAUCUGCCCUGCACUUCGGGAUAAGCCUGGGAAACUGGGUCUAAUACCGGAUAGGACUCCGGACUGCAUGGUCUGGGGUGGAAAGCUUUUGCGGUGUGGGAUGGGCCCGCGGCCUAUCAGCUUGUUGGUGGGGUGAUGGCCUACCAAGGCGACGACGGGUAGCCGGCCUGAGAGGGUGACCGGCAACACUGGGACUGAGAUACUGCCCAGACUCCUACUGGGGGCAGCAGUGGGGAAUAUUGCACAAUGGGCGCAAGCCUGAUGCAGCGACUCCGCGUGAGGGAUGACGGCCUUCGGGUUGUAAACCUCUUUCAGCAUCGACGAAGCGAAAGUGACGGUAGGUGCAGAAGAAGGACCGGCCAACUACCUGCCAGCCGCCGCCGUAA